rnacentral:rRNA from 1 species
UACAGAGACUGCAAGCGUUAUUCGGAUUCACUGGGCGUAAAGGGUGCGCAGGCGGCCAAGUGUGUUAGGCGUGAAAGCCCGAGGCUUAACCUCGGAAUUGCACCUAAAACUCAUGGCUAGAGUACUGGAGAGGGUAACGGAAUUCACGGUGUAGCAGUGAAAUGCGUAGAUAUCGGGAGGAACACCUGUGGCGAAAGCGGCUCACUGGGCCACAACUGACGCUGAGGCGCGAAAGCUAGGGGAGCAAACAGG